rnacentral:rRNA from 1 species
AAAUGAGGGCCUAACUGUCUCCUAUGGUUAAUCAAUGAACCUGAUCUUCCAGUACAAAAGCUGGGAUAAACACAUAAGACGAGAAGACCCUGUGGAGCUUAAAACAACACCAUUACUUCUACCCCCAAAGCCCACAGGGCCACUACACCAAACACAAUAAUGGCCGUUUUCAGUUGGGGCGACAUCGGAAUAAAACAAAACUUCCGAGCCACAGACUAACACCCUAUUAAAGGCCUACAAGCCAAAAUAAGCCAUCACUUGACCCAGUAUUACUGACCAGCGAACCAAGUUACCCCAGGGAUAACAGCGCCAUCCUCUUCAAGAGCCCCUAUCGCCAAGAGGGUUUACGACCUCGAUGUUGGAUCAGGACACCCCGGUGGUGCAGCCGCUACCAAAGGUUCGUUUGUUCAACGAUUAAUUAGUCCU